rnacentral:rRNA from 1 species
UGUAGUCAUAUGCUUGUCUCAAAGAUUAAGCCAUGCAUGUCUAAGUAUAAGCAAUUAUACAGCGAAACUGCGAAUGGCUCAUUAAAUCAGUUAUCGUUUAUUUGAUAGUACCUUACUACAUGGAUAACCGUGGUAAUUCUAGAGCUAAUACAUGCUAAAAAUCCCGACUUCGGAAGGGAUGUAUUUAUUAGAUUAAAAACCAAUGCCCUUCGGGGCUCUCUGGUGAUUCAUAAUAACUUCUCGAAUCGCACGGCCUUGCGCCGGCGAUGGUUCAUUCAAAUUUCUGCCCUAUCAACUUUCGACGGCUGGGUCUUGGCCAGCCGUGGUGACAACGGGUAACGGAGGGUUAGGGCUCGACCCCGGAGAAGGAGCCUGAGAAACGGCUACUACAUCCAAGGAAGGCAGCAGGCGCGCAAAUUACCCAAUCCCGACACGGGGAGGUAGUGACAAUAAAUACUGAUACAGGGCUCUUUCGGGUCUUGUAAUUGGAAUGAGUACAAUUUAAAUCCCUUAACGAGGAACAAUUGGAGGGCAAGUCUGGUAAUCG